AUGGGUAAUGUCACACACCCCCACCAGCAGCUGGAGUUACCGGGGCUGGAAUUGGUGACUGUGUGAAUUGGGCAGGUCAGCCACCUAUUUGGGCAUUCAGACAGCUCAGAGUGUGGAAAUUACAACUAGCAGGAGCAAUAUGGAACAAUAAUCCCCAGAAUUGAUAAUAGGACUGCAACCACCAAGAUAUACCAGCUGCCUUAUUUGCGAACCUG